rnacentral:rRNA from 1 species
CAACUCGACUACAUGAAGCUGGAAUCGCUAGUAAUCGCGAAUCAGAAUGUCGCGGUGAAUACGUUCCCGGGUCUUGUACACACCGCCCGUCACACCAUGGGAGUCGGAUAUGCCCGAAGUCAGUGACCCAACCAUAUGGAGGGAGCUGCCGAAGGUGGAGCCGAUAACUGGGGUGAAGUCGUAACAAGGUAGC